rnacentral:rRNA from 1 species
AUUCCUACGGGAGGCAGCAGUGAGGAAUUUUGCGCAAUGGGGGAAACCCUGACGCAGCAACGCCGCGUGAGUGAUGAAGGCCUUCGGGUCGUAAAGCUCUGUCAAGUGGGAAGAACCUGCCUGAUGAUAAUACCAUCGGGCACCGACGGUACCACUGAAGGAAGCACCGGCUAACUCCGUGCCAGCAGCCGCGGUAAUAAU